UGGGCACACCAGUGGCACGCAAUUAAAAAAAAAACAUAAAAAUAAUUACCUACUUGCAAAAUCUGCAAAAACAUUUAAAUUAAAUACACUUGCAGGUAGCAGCCAAAUUGAAAAAUCCAAACAAAAGGCAAAGGCUUACUUUAACAAAAACCAAAACAAAAAACAAAAAAAAAUCUUAAGUUAAAAAAUUAGCGUUGUUAUUGUAUAAAUCACCGAAACAUGGGCUGUGUAACCAAUAAAUCGAACCCUUACGAAUCAUCGAUAAACUCAAUUCAGCAGUGUAUAAAAUUAAAAUAACAAAAGGCAAGUGUAAUAAAAACACAAUCUAUUAUACUAAUCAGCAGUUUCCUGCUCAAAACAUAAGUAAACAGCAUCCAACAAAAUCGCAACAACUAAAGCCCAGCAAAUUGCAACCAUAAAAUAAACAUUAAUAUUUCUAAUUUUACUACAUUAUCGUUGCUCUAAGGGUAAAACUAAGCCAAAAUCACAAAUUUAAAACUAAACUGUUACCGCCCCAUAAAACCAAACAACAUGGUCGUGCUCAAUUGCCAGAGCACGUAAAAUAAAACAAACCUACACAAAAAAAAGCAAUUUACUGUUUAUAAUAUGCAUAACAUAACCCAACUGUUUAAUAAAACCCAAUGUAAAAUUAAUCAGCUAAUCAUUUUAAACAAUCAGCACAAAAUUCAUUUUAAAAAAAGAUAUGUUCUGCAUAUGAAAAAUUUCAUAAAUGCAAUCACUAAUGUAUUACAACCCUUAAAAUUAACAAAGGUUCCCAACUUAAUUAAAAAUAAGCAACUAUUAAGUUGGUACUAUCCCCACGUGUUUUCAAAAUCUAAAAAAAAUCCUAAUCCACAUGUUUAAAUUCAUGCCAGCAUUUGGCAGCGGGUGCUAUAAAAAAAAAUAAAAUCUUAUUUAAUCCAAACAAAAAUGUGUACAGGCAAUUGGCUGCUGUACAUUCUAUAGGUCACCUCAAAAACAUCAUCUAUAAAAAAACGCAUUAAUGCACCUCUCCUGGUGGUCUGUCACAUUCCAACUCAAACUUGAAAAGUGCCACAAAUGUUGCUCUUUUUAAUUAAAAAAAAAAAAAAAAAGCCUCAGUACAUCUGUAUUUGUAAUGUGUUUAAAACAAACACUGUUCUGUGUAAACUACCAAAAAAAAAAAAAAAAAAGGUACAAAAUUCGUC